GGGAAGCCUUUUGUUUAUUCUGUUUCAGGUGAAGAACAUGUCUGGUGCAGCAGCGAUGAUCGUGUUCUUGUUGCCGGGGAUUCCAAUGUCCAUCGUUUGAAGUCUGCGUGUCCUCCAAAUACAAGGAUUGACUUUCUGCCCGUAUCUGGUGCAAAGUAUGUGUCUGACCGGAAGGGCUUUAGAAAGCUGCUGCAUCAAGAGCUGAUGUCAGGUUGUUACGACAUAUUGUACCUGCAUCUUGGCUCUAACGAUGUUUGCUGCAAGGAUAGCGAUUUCUACCGUUGUGUGACAGAGAUCCUUGAUGUAGUAUUAAGUGUGUGCACUGAAAUUAACGUGGUGCUUUGCGAGAUUCUUCCACGUGAUUUUGACGUGAGAAUGUUUCCCCGAUGGCCACUCUCAAGGGCACAUGUGAGGAACUACUGCCAGUGGAUA